rnacentral:rRNA from 1 species
GAUGAACGCUAGCUACAGGCUUAACACAUGCAAGUCGAGGGGAAACGAUAUUGGAAGCUUGCUUCCGAUAGGCGUCGACCGGCGCACGGGUGAGUAACGCGUAUCCAACCUGCCCAUCACUUGGGAAUAACCUUGCGAAAGUAAGACUAAUGCCCAAUGACAUUUAUAGAAGGCAUCUGAAAUGAAUUAAAGAUUUAUCGGUGAUGGAUGGGGAUGCGUCUGAUUAGCUUGUUGGCGGGGUAACGGCCCACCAAGGCUACGAUCAGUAGGGGUUCUGAGAGGAAGGUCCCCCACAUUGGAACUGAGACACGGUCCAAAACUCCUACGGGAGGCAGCAGUGAGGAAUAUUGGUCAAUGGGCAGAGCCUGAACCAGCCAAGUAGCGUGCAGGAAGACGGCCCUAUGGGUUGUAAAACUGCUUUUAUAGGGGAAUAAAGUGAGCCACGUGUGGUUUUUUGC